GUGUCAGCAGCCGCGGUAAUACGUAGGGGGCGAGCGUUGUCCGGAUUUAUUGGGCGUAAAGGGCUCGCAGGCGGCCUGGCCAAGUCGUGCGUGAAAUCUCUCGGCUUAACUGAGAGCGGUCGUGCGAUACUGGUCGGCUCGAGGCCGGUAGGGGGAAGCGGAAUUCCGGGUGUAGUGGUGGAAUGCGUAGAUAUCCGGAGGAACACCAGUGGCGAAGGCGGCUUCCUGGACCGGUCCUGACGCUCAGGAGCGAAAGCGUGGGUAGCGAUCCGGAUUAGAUACCCUUGUAGUCC
rnacentral:rRNA from 1 species